rnacentral:rRNA from 1 species
GAUGAACGCUGGCGGCGUGCCUAAUACAUGCAAGUCGAGCGAACGGACGAGAAGCUUGCUUUUCUGAUGUUAGCGGCGGACGGGUGAGUAACACGUGGAUAACCUACCUAUAAGACUGGGAUAACUUCGGGAAACCGGAGCUAAUAUCGGAUAAUAUUUUGAACCGCAUGGUUCAAAAGUGAAAGACGGUCUUGCUGUCACUUAUAGAUGGAUCCGCGCUGCAUUAGCUAGUUGGUAAGGUAACGGCUUACCAAGGCAACGAUGCAUAGCCGACCUGAGAGGGUGAUCGGCCACACUGGAACUGAGACACGGUCCAGACUCCUACGGGAGGCAGCAGUAGGGAAUCUUCCGCGAUGGGCGAAAGCCUGACGGAGCAACGCCGCGUGAGUGAUGAAGGUCUUCGGAUCGUAAAACUCUGUUAUUAGGGAAGAACAUAUGUGUAAGUAACUGUGCACAUCUUGACGGUACCUAAUCAGAAAGCCACGGCUAACUACGUG